rnacentral:lncRNA from 1 species
CCACCUGCUCUCUGGCUGCCGCCCCGCGGCCACACAGAGAUGAUGUUCCUUUCACCUGGCCGAAGCCGGGGUUAGGGUCGGGGUCUGGAUGACCAGCACCACUCACAAACGCAGGCAGCCCCUCUGGGUCCGUGGCUGCCGGGGUCUUAGCUGGUAUUUGGACUAGACCCAGAGCGAAGAGGUGACUGUCGCUUUAACAAACCCUCUGGAAUCUCAGCUGGGACCUGGAAGGUGCUGAAAGAGCCAACCCACGCGCCUGCGUAUAGGCUGGUUGAGAGGCCCACCUCUCCCUCAUUGGCGCUAGGCCUCAACUGAGUCAUUGCUUUGUCACCGCCUUUCCCAGCGUGAAGAGGAGCAGGCAGAGCGUGAUCAGAAAGGCCAGGCCAAUGAGAAAUCGAGGAGGGCAUCGGGGGCGCACGUGCUCAGAACUCUGAUUGGAGGAUGGAAGGCACCGGCCCGGGAAAGGACCAAUGAAAAGAAGUACAAUAAAGACACUUUCAUUGAACUCCUCAUUUAUGCCUAUUAUGCAAGGAUGAUGUUCAGCAAACUUUAUGACAGAGGGAAACAGCUGGUAAAGUGGGUUCAUGGAAAGGUGAAGGUGCUGCUGAGUGGGAGAAAGGCUAAUGCAAUCUCCAGUGAUAUCCCUCACAUCUUCUGCCUGCUGGUCCUACUGCUUAGUUGUCUUGGUUUCUUUGAUAUGGAAACACUAUUAUUUCUAGUUCCUUGA